CCCUGCUAGCAGAAAACUAGCAUAUUGGCAUAUAUAUAUGAAAAUAAAUGUGCAUGUUUUUGCAAGGAAUUAUUCAAAGGGCUGUUUUCUCCACCUAUGGCUGAGAAUCUUAAAGACUACUCUGCCAAUUUGGGAUUUGAGAUUCCUUGCACUGCUACAGCUAUAACUGCAUUGAGAGGAUUCAAAAAGUCUGCUUCUCUUAAAUUUCACAGGAUCUUUGCUGUUACCAACUUCUUAUAUUGAUAUCCUGCUCUCUUUCCAAAGUUCUCCAGGCAGCGCACCCAGUUCCUAUCCUGUGCACGCUGUCUUGACAACAACCCUGACAGAAGCUGACUGGCCCGGCCAUUGAAGGCCAACAGUGGGGCCAUCUUGCCCCCCUUUCCAGUGGGAAGUGGCUCAGUAGAAGGAACCAGGACUCCUUAUGUGAUCAGAGUCAUAGCACCGUCUUCCUACAGAAACAGUCCAGCAAACGCUGUUCUUCUACACUCCCUCCAGCAUCCGUGGCUUGACACCACUGCCUCACUCUACCCAACGGUAGGGCCGGCUUGCAACAGAAUUAUCUAUUUCUCUCUCGUUGUGGGUCCAAGAGGAAUCUUAAGCAGCCAGGAACUCUACGUGAUGCCGUUCCAUCUUGAAAUGACGACCAGACAAGGUUACUGCAGGACGCCACCAGGAAAUAAGGGAGAUCAGAGAUGGAAAAUGCUUUUUAAAGGACAACAUCUGGCCCUGCUGACUGUGAGAUUCUGGGAUUUGUAGUCCAAACCCCCACCCCCAAAAAAGUUUCUCGUAUCUGGAUAAAUCAGAAUGGAUCUGGCAAAAAAACACAAAACAACAUCUUAGGAGAGAGAAAUUCCGGGAAAAUUUUGGAUGAGAAGAAUAUUGUCUCAAACUAUCGGUCAGGGAGCCGGCCUCCCUCCAACUUACAGCCCUCCAAGAAAUGUUGGACUACAGCUCCCAUUACCUCCAGCAGCUUGUCAAUAGGAGUAUUGGGCAAGGAUGAUGGGCACUGUAUUCAAAGCACUUCUGGAGACCAUCCGUUUGGAAAAUGCUUCUGGAUUCAAUGGUCUUGCUCUUCUAACCUAACUUUCCUCCCUUGUUCUGUUUUUAAAUUUUUCUUUGUGUUCCCCUUCCUGCUCCUAUCACUGAAAAUGAAUAAAUGCAUUUUCUGUAACUCUGUGCAGAUUUCAAAAAACUGCAACUGACGGAGAGACAAUUAUUAAAUUGCUUUAGCCACACGAGAGAACACUUUUUGUUUUGCUUUAAAUUUUACUCUUAAGCCUUCCAUCCCAUUCCUGUCCUUGUUUCUUGUUCUUCUAAGCCUCUUAAUAAAUCAGUGAUAAAUUGUUUGUAAAUUAUCGAGAAGGUGCCCUCAUAAUUAAAACCCAGGCUGUUUAAAGACAACCAACAGAGGUUGCUGGCUUUAAUGCUGAAUAGGGUGAAGUUUUUAAAACACAGUAUGUGCUGGUAGACAGUGGAGAAAGCAGAACAUGACUUUAGGGAAGAAUAUUAAGUCAAAACAUGCAGGAGUGGCUAGGUUAGAAUCCUGUUGCCACUCUAUAAAACAAGUUUUUUGGGAGCAGAGGGUUAAGCAUCCCUGCCAACUUCCUGUUUCUGCUGCGCCACCCUAUCAUCAAUGUAUUACUCAAGAAACCUAUAAUUUAACAUGCUUUCCUUUGUUACUUGAUUAUUUAUUUCACCCGUCCCUUCCCCACUUCUUCUAAGGCCCUGGAAGGCUCAACCACAUUGUCUCGCCAUAACCACCCGACAAAGCCGGUCUCGAGAUCGAGCGAGUGAACCUCCACCAGCACCAAAUUUAAAACUUUUAUUCACAUCCUUCCACAUAAAACAAAACACACACAGAGCUUAUUCUAACAGCAGGGACUUGUUCGCGUCGGCCCCAUAGCUGUUCGGGCGAAUUACAGCCACUCCUGAGCAACAUUGAGGAAAAUAUCAAGAUUCAAUAUUCAUUUCCUUUGGUUCUCUCCUGAGCUGGUUUUACUACAUUAACAGGAAGGCCUUUUU